CAGAGCCCGCCAGCUGCUAAGCCAGGGCCACACCUGGGGGUGAUUUCAUGCCUCACCUCCAGUAGGCUCAUGGCCUCUCUGGGCUAACCUCUGGCUCUUUUGCACUAACUCUAGCUCUCCCCCAGCUAAUCCCUGCCUUUCCCUGGCUGCCCCAGGGGCUGACCACUAGCAGCCAGCCCCGCCCACCCGCGGGGCUCCAGGCUCCUUUAAACCAACCACCCUUUCCUCUGGACUAAUGUUUGCCUUUCUGGUCUGUUCCUUCCGGCAGAAAUGAAUGGCUGUGGAUUUCUCUCUGACUAACAGGUCUCAUACUCCUCUCCCUGUUACCACUAACGGCUUGGAUGAUGGCGGCGUGGCUGGC
ensembl:misc_RNA Gm27998 predicted gene, 27998